rnacentral:sRNA from 1 species
UUCCAUGCGACUAGUUGCUUAUUUAUCUUUAAUUUAUCAGGCUGGCUUUGCUAAGGAGGAAAAUACUCAAAGUUUAAAGCAAAACAUUUUACAUCUGAUCAGGACCAGAGGAGUGGGAUCACUGUACAAGGGACUGGAAGCAAAGUUAUUACAGACAGUUUUAACUGCAGCUCUUAUGUUUUCUAUUUAUGAAAAAAUUGCUGCUUUUAUUUUUAAAAUUAUGGGCUUGCAAUGAUGUUGCUGAAGAAUACUAGAUGUAACUGAUAAGAUCAGAUAAUUUUUAUUGAUCCAAUCUAAUGGAAAUUCAGUUUGACUACAAUUGACAAGCUCAGUGAAACUACUGUACAAAAACAAUAUUGAUUAAAAAUUCGAUAGUAUUAUAUAGCUUAAUGCAAAUUGUGUUAGAUUUGUUUGUUUUUUUUGAGAUGAAGAAAACAGUCAUUAUGUUUAAAAGAAUUCUUUUCUGUUAAAUUGCUUAGUGUCCUAAUCAACUUUAUUGUCAAGAAUAUAGAAAAGUGUAUUAUAUAUUGAAACCAAAUAUACAUCAAAUAUAAUUUUGUCAUGAAGUUAUUUAAACUUGAUUUAUAACACACAUUCAAUAAUAAUGACUGGCCGCUGGCGAGAAAUUAUGGUGAUGUGUUGCUUAUGCAAAUUUAGUCAUUUUAAAAAAUAUACUGGUAUUUAAGAAAAAAAAUAUCUAGUAAUUAAAAAAUUUAAUGGUAAUUAAAAACAUUUGUUAGUAUCAAAUAUAUGCUUGAAUGUGAUGACCUAAAACAAUUUGUUUCUGUUAAUUUGACUUUAGUCCCUAUAGUAAUACAUUUAGUCUGCAGAUUAUUCUUGUAAAAGAAGCCAUAUACUAUAAAACUUUAUUUGUAUUUAAAAAUAUUACAUUUUUAGCCAAUUAAAUUGUAAAAUUAUAUCAUUUGAAUUCCAGCAUUAAAUUUCAUGUACUAUUCAA